rnacentral:rRNA from 1 species
AGAUCCUGAAACCGCAUGCAUACAAGCAGUGGGAGCACCUUCGUGGUGUGACUGCGUACCUUUUGUAUAAUGGGUCAGCGACUUAUAUUCAGUAGCAAGGUUAACCGUAUAGGGGAGCCGUAGGGAAACCGAGUCUUAAUAGGGCAUUUAGUUGCUGGGUAUAGACCCGAAACCAGGCGAUCUAUCCAUGAGCAGGUUGAAGGUUGGGUAACACUAACUGGAGGACCGAACCCACUGUCGUU